rfam:Culex pipiens quinquefasciatus supercont3.14 genomic scaffold, whole genome shotgun sequence.
GUCACCCGCAGGGACGCGGUCUGGCAGGAAAUAAUUUGGCAUUAGAUUCAAAUGUUAACUGUAAGACUGUGUCUUUGAGGGCGAU